AAAAAUCAAAGAGAGUUAAAAAACAGAAAAAGGGAGAAGGCAGACUUUUGAGAGCUGAAUAUCCAAAAAAUAGAGAGCUUACACGUUCUGAAAGUCUGCGAUAUUUUAAGAGAUAAGAAUCCAGAACAUACAAGACGGCUUAAAAGCUUACUGAUUUAUCAAACUUUUCAGUGAUUUUGAAGUUUUGACUUAUAAAAGCAAAUUCUAAAUCAUGUAGUAUGAAGAUGGAUUGAAUUUGGUUCUCUUUUAAGCAUUGGUUGGAAGUUUGUUUUGGUUUUUCUUCAUGCGAAUUGUUUUCUGUGCCGCUUAACUCCAUUCCUGGGUUUGGAGUUGAUUUCAUCUUUUUCUGGUUGCUGAAAUCUGGUUGACUUCUGUUGUUACUACUAGUGAUCUCUCACCUUUUGUUGUUUUGUUAUUUAAUAUCAGGUACACAUCCCUGAAUUCCUACAAUGUGAUACUCAAAUUGGAAGUUGAGAAACGGAAAUGGC
rnacentral:lncRNA from 1 species